UACGUAGGGUGCAAGCGUUAAUCGGAAUUACUGGGCGUAAAGCGUGCGCAGGCGGUUAUGUAAGACAGAUGUGAAAUGCCCGGGCUUAACCUGGGAACUGCGUUUGAAACUGGGAGACGUGAGUGUGGCAGAGGGGGGUGGAAUUCCACGUGUAGCAGUGAAAUGCGUAGAUAUGUGGAGGAACACCGAUGGCGAAGGCAGCCCCCUGGGUUAACACUGACGCUCAUGCACGAAAGCGUGGGGAGCAAACAGG
rnacentral:rRNA from 1 species